rnacentral:rRNA from 1 species
GAACGAACGCUGGCGGCAUGCCUAACACAUGCAAGUCGAACGAGACCUUCGGGUCUAGUGGCGCACGGGUGCGUAACGCGUGGGAACCUGCCCUUAGGUUCGGAAUAACUCCCCGAAAGGGGUGCUAAUACCGGAUAAUGUCUUCGGACCAAAGAUUUAUCGCCUUUGGAUGGGCCCGCGUUGGAUUAGCUAGUUGGUAGGGUAAAAGCCUACCAAGGCGACGAUCCAUAGCUGGUCUGAGAGGAUGAUCAGCCACACUGGGACUGAGACACGGCCCAGACUCCUACGGGAGGCAGCAGUGGGGAAUAUUGGACAAUGGGCGAAAGCCUGAUCCAGCAAUGCCGCGUGAGUGAUGAAGGCCUUAGGGUUGUAAAGCUCUUUUACCCGGGAUGAUAAUGACAGUACCGGGGGAAUAAGCUCCGGCUAACUCCGUG